GACGAACGCUGGCGGCGUGCUUAACACAUGCAAGUCGAACGGAAAGGCCCUGCUUGCAGGGUACUCGAGUGGCGAACGGGUGAGUAACACGUGGGUGAUCUGCCCUGCACUUCGGGAUAAGCCUGGGAAACUGGGUCUAAUACCGGAUAGGAGCCAUUUCUAGUGUGAGGGAUGGAAAGUUUUUUCGGUGUAGGAUGAGCUCGCGGCCUAUCAGCUUGUUGGUGGGGUAAUGGCCUACCAAGGCGGCGACGGGUAGCCGGCCUGAGAGGGUGGACGGCCGCAUUGGGACUGAGGUACGGCCCAGACUCCUACGGGAGGCAGCAGUGGGGAAGAUUGCACCAUGGGCGCAGGCCUGAUGCAGCGACGCCGCGUGGGGGAUGACGGCCUUCGGGUUGUAAACUCCUUUCGCUAGGGACGAAGCUUUUUGUGACGGUACCUAGAGAAGAAGCACCGGCUAACUACGUG
rnacentral:rRNA from 1 species